GGUGUCGGUGUCUCGCUCGCACUAGUGUAGCGAGUGUUCCUCGUGCGUUCCCUUUCUUGCUACCACACAAAAUCGUCAGUACAGUUCAAGCCUUCGCAGUGUGAGGCCGCGCGCGUUUUAGCCUAAGUCCCGGGCGCUCGAUGUAAUUUGAAGUGAAGUGUUGAAGUGUUAUUUAUUUCAAUUCACAUUAUUACGGCCUCGGUCGUAUUUUCAAGUGUUGAAGUGUUUAUUCAACAUACACAACAUACAGGCAGUAAGGCGGGUGCUUGAAGUGACGAUUUUUGUUAUUAUUUAUAAUAAAAAAUAUGUGUGGUUUUGUGGCAAGAUUGUGGUAAGCGAUGUGUGGAACUGUGCCUUAAGUUUCAAUAAAGUGUUAAAAUAUCAAACGAGUUUGAUGUAAUUAAA